UUUGCUCACAAAAUUAUUUUAUCUUUUCAUUUCUCUCUCUACUCCUCCCAUGGAGUCUAUGGAAAGUUCCUGAGCCUUCUUGAACAACCCGGUCCUCCCCUUCGAGAACAUGACUUGUCUGCUGUUGGCAUUGUUGAUUCUUUUGAUCUCGAUCUUCCCUCGACCCAUUGGCUUAAUUUCUCGCUCUCUCAGAGCACAAACAUGCCCAACUGAACGAGAAAUUAGAGCUGGUGUUUUGGGAGGAGUAGCAAUUCGACGGUUGAAGAUGCGAAGGAAGGCACCACACUAAGUAAGGUUGCGAGAAUGGAAAGCGUUUUACCUCAAAUGACCAGAGAGGUUGGCUGGAAACAGCAACUUUGCAUGGCUCCGCGUUCUUGGUGCAUUUAGAGACUAUUUCCUUUUUGCCCCAUUUUGGAUUUUCAUCUGCACCCGCAGGUCCCACAUGGUUUUGGCUGCCUCUUAUAUGUUACAAAUGAGAGGCUUACAUGGCAUUUCAAGGCAUGUAUAGAAUAGGCUUAGAAACCUUAUACCCAGAACUCUGAUACUUCAAGAUUCCACUUUGCUAUUGUAUGUUUGAUUUCUUUGGGUUCCUUAAAAAAAGGAUGCACUUUGGGAAGUGGUUCAUCUUUUGUAGAUAUUAAGAAAUCAAAAUUUAGUUGCUUAUAUUUUUGGUACGCCUAGGAAUGUGCUUAUGCUCUUAUGACAGGCAUACAUUCAUUAUAAUUUUUUAUGGACAUUACCGUUUGUGAUGUAAAUUUUAUGAGUAAUUUGUGAAUGCAUACUUCCUUUUUUCAUAAUUUUAUUGAUAAUUUUGUUAUGUGGUUUUUGUUGAUUUUUGUCAACAAGAAAAUCCCGAGAGAUUUGACUGAGGCGUGGUUAUCAGGAGCGGGAUUAUCCAUAGUGGCAGCUUUGGUUAUGAUGUUUUUACUUGGAAUGGUCCUCAUACUCUUAUAUGUUAAAUUCUCCUUUCGGAUUCGCAUUUCUCUUUCUCCACCGCAACACACCCACCUUCAGGAUUUUGGUGGUUGUUUUGACAGUAUUUGAGAGAGUUGGUGAUACUUUUAUAUCAUGGGAUACAAAAUGAUAGGAUCUUUUCUGACCUGGGCCCUUGUCAUUUGGUGUAAUGGCAGCAUGGUUUUUGGCUAUGCUUAUCCAGCUUAUGAAUGCUAUAAAGUAGUUGAAAAAGAAUAAGCCGGAAGCGAUUAUAAAACAACUGACGGCACUGGAGUUCGUGAUUACAUUCAUGUUCUUGAUUUAGCAGAUGGGCAUAUUGUUGUGUUGCGUAAACUAGAUGAUCCUAAAAUAGGCCUAAGCAAUCUGGUUGGUAGAACCUGCAGAAUUUUUAAUAUCAAUUAUACCAAACGCCACCAUUCCAACGCUUUAUUUUGUCACAUCUUUGUGUCAGUGUUGCAAAUAACAUGAAUUCGCUUGGACAGAUUUUCCCUUAGAGAACGCGUAUGAGCUAUUAGGAGUGUCCGAGACCAACUCCUUUGACGAGAUUAAAGCGUCAUUCCGCAAAUUGGCCAAAGAGACUCACCAGGACCUAGCUGAGUCAAUGAAUGAUUCCACUGCAUCUCGACAAUUUGUAAAAAUUCUGGCAGACUAUGAGGUUUGUGCAAAUCUGGUUCUAGAAGAUUUAUCUUCACAUUGAUGUUGGGUGGAGCUAUUAGUGAUAUUGCCAUAAUUUAUCUUAUUAUUAUAGACAGGUUCAUAUAAUUUGUUUUGUCAUUUCAAACUUAAUGUGAUUGGAGUGGAUAAUAUAAUUUCCAUCUCGACCAAAUACAAAAAAAAAAAAUUAGGUGAUGGCUUAAUUAUGUUACUUAUUUUAUAUCCUAUAAUCUCAUGCCAUAAUUAUAAGUAAAUGAUGGCAAUGUCUGCCACCCUUUUCCGUGGACAUGCAGGCAGAGUUACUCCACAGAGUGGCAAUCAUAUUCCUCCAAGCCAUUUAAGUUUCUUUGCUUAAUAAAAAGUUGUGCAAACAACACUUAUCGUGUCCUAUCCUAUAAUGUUGUCUAUCUUAAUCUAAUUGAGUUCUUCGUUUUGAUCAAUUUCUUCUUUUGAUUGUUCUACCUAAAAUCAAGUAAGAAGUACCUGUGAAAAAAUUAUCCAAAAUAGUCACUUUCAAAACAUACACUUACCUUCAUGAGGUCAUUGAACUGAUUAGAGACAAUAACCUUCAGAUGUUAUCAAACUGUUGCUUAGAAGGAGAGCUUACAAAUGAUGAUGGGACUAAAUUAAUGUGUCUACCCUAAGGGUGUUUGCACUCUGAACCACGAGAGUGUCCUAAUUCGAAGUUACUGCUCUAAUACCUCUCUAGAAGGAUUCUGAGGUUAGACGGACUUAAUACUUUUAACUGAAGAUAACCUAUAGCCGAAUGCUUGAAGAGUUGUACAUAAAUAAUUGAGCUUUUACUGAUUUUUCUUGCUUUCUUUGUUCAAUUUCAUUAUAAAUAAGUUCAUAUACAAUGAUAGCAUAUAGUUUAUAUGCAAGGAUAACAUAUGCAAGAAUGAUUUAUUGUAAGUAGGUCAUACAUUUUGGUGACAAAUUCAUCCUUGAAGAACCAAUUGAGAGGUAUAGUUAAUUGAUAUUAGCGUUUGUUUUUAGUUCUUUUCAUUGACCAGUAGAUCCAAAUUAUGUACUAUUAACAAGCUCUAUCAACAGACAGAAAUUGGUUAUUGUUAUGUUUCAGGACAUUUUGCAAUGUCUUGGUUGCUUUAAGUAAAAAAAUAAUUUAAAUGUCAUGUGAGCAGAAGUUCAAAUUCCAAAUUGAAGGAUUUUUUACUAGAUUUUUUAUUUGACACUGGUAGUAGCCAUUUUUGGUU